GUCGAACGGUGAAGCCCAGCUUGCUGGGUGGAUCAGUGGCGAACGGGUGAGUAACACGUGAGCAACCUGCCCUCCACUUCGGGAUAAGCCUUGGAAACGGGGUCUAAUACCGGAUAUGAGCUCGCAUCGCAUGGUGUGGGCUGGAAAGUUUUUCGGUGGGGGAUGGGCUCGCGGCCUAUCAGCUUGUUGGUGGGGUGAUGGCCUACCAAGGCGUCGACGGGUAGCCGGCCUGAGAGGGCGACCGGCCACACUGGGACUGAGACACGGCCCAGACUCCUACGGGAGGCAGCAGUGGGGAAUAUUGCACAAUGGGCGCAAGCCUGAUGCAGCGACGCCGCGUGAGGGAUGACGGCCUUCGGGUUGUAAACCUCUUUCAGCAGGGAAGAAGCGCAAGUGACGGUACCUGCAGAAGAAGCGCCGGCUAACUACGUGCCAGCAGCCGCGGUAAUACGUAGGGCGCAAGCGUUGUCCGGAAUUAUUGGGCGUAAAGAGCUCGUAGGCGGUCUGUCGCGUCUGGUGUGAAAUCCCGAGGCUCAACCUCGGGCUUGCAUCGGGUACGGGCAGACUAGAGUGCGGUAGGGGAGACUGGAAUUCCUGGUGCAGCGGUGGAAUGCGCAGAUAUCAGGAGGAACACCGAUGGCGAAGGCAGGUCUCUGGGCCGCAACUGACGCUGAGGAGCGAAAGCAUGGGGAGCGAACAGGAUUAGAUACCCUGGUAGUCCAUGCCGUAAACGUUGGGCACUAGGUGUGGGGCUCAUUCCACGAGUUCCGUGCCGCAGCUAACGCAUUAAGUGCCCCGCCUGGGGAGUACGGCCGCAAGGCUAAAACUCAAAGGAAUUGACGGGGGCCCGCACAAGCGGCGGAGCAUGCGGAUUAAUUCGAUGCAACGCGAAGAACCUUACCAAGGCCUGACAUGUACGAGAAAGCCCCCGAGACGGGGUUCUCUUUGGACACUCGUACACAGGUGGUGCAUGGUUGUCGUCAGCUCGUGUCGUGAGAUGUUGGGUUAAGUCCCGCAACGAGCGCAACCCUCGUCCUAUGUUGCCAGCGGGUUAUGCCGGGGACUCAUGGGAGACUGCCGGGGUCAACUCGGAGGAAGGUGGGGAUGACGUCAAAUCAUCAUGCCCCUUAUGUCUUGGGCUUCACGCAUGCUACAAUGGCCGGUACAGAGGGCUGCGAUACCGUAAGGUGGAGCGAAUCCCAAAAAGCCGGUCUCAGUUCGGAUUGGGGUCUGCAACUCGACCCCAUGAAGUCGGAGUC
rnacentral:rRNA from 1 species